GUUUAUAAGCUUACAGAAGAAAACAUAUCUACAAAAAGCCAUUUAUAGAUGCGACAAGCUAUGGUGAACAUAGUUAUGUACAACGGAAAAAGUUUAUUCCUGUGCAGUAUCUUUUGGAGUAUCACACUUGGUGCUAGUAUUCCUUGUAUCAACUGUGUGUGUAUGUACGAUAGCGAACUUUCUCAAAUUCAAGCUUAUCAGGAUCGAUUAGCGUUGCGUGCGCUGAUUAAUUCUUACUGCACAAAUAAAGGAUGUCGGACUGCUGGACCCGUAGAUCUUGAUAUGAUCUCCGAUUGCUCGUCUAACACAGAGUCGAAGAUACCUGCAUGUGUGGAAUGUGACGGAAUUCUCACGUUUUCGUCAAAGUCAGCGCCAGAUGAAACUUUUACAAUGACCAUAAGUUACAAAGGUUGUGUUGAGGUUGACUCAAGUACCAUUUCUUCCUGCGAAAGAUAUACAGAAACUUCUUGGACGACUCUACCGUUUUUCUCAAGAAUAUCAACUUUUCAGGAAGCCUCUAGUGCAGGGUUCUACAACGGAUCCGUUUGUUAUAAAGUCACUCAUACAGAUUCUGAAGGACUUUCAAUACAUCAAAACUGCAAAUAUUAUGAAAAAGUAUAUAUGUUUGUGUUGAACGUACUGCUUUCAAAGCUUUUUUAUCAAACCUUUUAGCAUAUAAUUAAUGUUAUUCUAUAGACAAUUUGAUGCGCGAGUCAAAUAUGAAUUUCCCGACUACCUAUAUCGAUUUAAAAGUAUUCUUAGGUUAGUAGAAACAAUGACAAUAUAUUUUGUAUUUGUACAAUUUAAAAAUUUUGUCAACAAAAAUCAUAUCUUCGAACACAAAAAGAUAAAGGUUUCCUUUAUAAAUAACUGUUUGUAGUAAACUAGUAGACAGUCCUUAGUCUGGUACCCAUUAAUGUUUUGUGGGCAAAAAUAAAAUUGAAUGCAAUUACAAUUGAGAAAUUGUUUUCGUAAUACAUAUUUUUGUUUUUAAUAUGUUGAUGUUUUUUAUUGGAAAAAUGAAAUUUUACUAUCUUUAAAAGAACUGCCAUUAGAAGAUUUACGAAGGUUGUUCGAUAUGUAAUGUGUAUCUCAAAGCAUUCUACACAAAUAGUGAAAUAA